UACAGAGACUGCAAGCGUUAUUCGGAUUCACUGGGCGUAGAGGGUGCGCAGGCGGUUGGGUGUGUCAGAUGUGAAAUCCCGAGGCUUAACCUCGGAACUGCGUCUGAAACUACUCGACUAGAGUAUUGGAGAGGGUAACGGAAUUCACGGUGUAGCAGUGAAAUGCGUAGAUAUCGUGAGGAACACCAGAGGCGAAGGCGGUUACCUGGACAAUUACUGACGCUCAGGCACGAAAGCAUGGGGAGCAAAAGGG
rnacentral:rRNA from 1 species